AAAUGUGUUUUAGUCUGUUCGAACUGUCACAAGGAAAUUCAUAACGGAGUAGUGCAGCUUCCGCCGGAAACGACGGUUGAAAAAUUGGGUGAACUCAGGGAAACCUAACUCUGUCGAUUAAUCGACGGACAUGGUAAUCCUGAGCCAAGUUCAUUUGUACGCCUUGCCGGGUACACAUGAAAAGGUGCAGAGACUAGGUGAUUACACCCUAGAGCGCCCGACAUCUUAAUGUGGUGACACAAAAGAUGAUGAGAUAGUCCAUGCUGUUUGGAAACAAACGG
rnacentral:ncRNA from 1 species